rnacentral:tRNA from 1 species
UUAAUUGAAGCCAAAAUAGAGGCUUUUCAUUGUUAAUGAAAAAAUUGAUUUAAUUUAAUCCAAUUAAA